rnacentral:rRNA from 1 species
GACGAACGCUGGCGGCGUGCUUAACACAUGCAAGUCGAACGGAAAGGCCCUGCUUUUGUGGGGUGCUCGAGUGGCGAACGGGUGAGUAACACGUGAGUAACCUGCCCUUGACUUUGGGAUAACUUCAGGAAAGUGGGGCUAAUACCGGAGAGGAGCUCCUGCUGCAUGGUGGGGGUUGGAAAUUUUCGGCGGUGGGGGCUGGACUCGCGGCUUAUCAGCUUGUUGGUUGGGUAGUGGCUUACCAAGGCAUUGGCGGGUAGCCGGCCUGGGAGGGUGGACGGGCACAAUGGGCCUAAGGGACGGCGCAGAGUCCAACAGUGGACAACGGGCGGAAACCUUGCCCAGCGAGCCCGCGUCUGUGGAAGAGACCCUCCGUGCGGAAUGCCCGUCUUCGGGGUGUAAACCGCAUUAGGCUAAGACGAAGCGUUAGUGACGUUAAUGAGAGAAGAAGCACCGGCUAACUACGUG